rnacentral:rRNA from 1 species
GACAGCAGUAGCCAGUAAUACGAAGGGUGCAAGCGUUACUCGGAAUUACUGGGCGUAAAGCGUGCGUAGGUGGUGGUUUAAGUCCGUUGUGAAAGCCCUGGGCUCAACCUGGGAAUUGCAGUGGAUACUGGGUCACUAGAGUGUGGUAGAGGAUAGUGGAAUUUCCGGUGUAGCAGUGAAAUGCGUAGAGAUCGGAAGGAACAUCUGUGGCGAAGGCGACUAUCUGGGCCAACACUGACACUGAGGCACGAAAGCGUGGGGAGCAAACAGGAUUAGAUACCCCAGUAGUCCCUGUCUCUUAUACAC